rnacentral:rRNA from 1 species
AGUGAACGCUGGCGGUAGGCCUAACACAUGCAAGUCGAACGGCAGCACAGUAAGAACUUGCUCUUACGGGUGGCGAGUGGCGGACGGGUGAGGAAUACAUCGGAAUCUACUUUUUCGUGGGGGAUAACGUAGGGAAACUUACGCUAAUACCGCAUACGAUCUACGGGGGAAAGCAGGGGAUCUUCGGACCUUGCGCGAUUGAAUGAGCCGAUGUCGGAUUAGCUAGUUGGGGGGGUAAAGGCCCACCAAGGCGACGAUCCGUAGCUGGUCUGAGAGGAUGAUCAGCCACACUGGAACUGAGACACGGUCCAGACUCCUACGGGAGGCAGCAGUGGGGAAUAUUGGACAAUGGGCGCAAGCCUGAUCCAGCCAUACCGCGUGGGUGAAGAAGGCCUUCGGGUUGUAAAGCCCUUUUGUUGGGAAAGAAAAGCAGCAGGUUAAUACCCCGCUGUUCUGACGGUACCCAAAGAAUAAGCACCGGCUAACUUCGUG